UGUUGUGACACUGAGCAUAACACACAAAUUUGAAAAUCCUAAUGUGCUCAUGAGAUUUUCCUGCAUGUUUAGGACACAGAAACGCCAAAUACACAUUGCUUAUCCUUGAGAGGGAGAGGCUUGGAAUCAGGUACAAGAACAUCUGAAUGUUGCAAAGAGAGAGUAAAGCUGGAAGUCUGGAAAUUUCUUUUUUGUCUCGAAAGUUGAUGUGGAAAAGGUUUCACUGGAUGGGCUCAUCAGGAGGGACAGAGCCCAUAAAUGGGAUGGGUCGCAUUCAACAGGCAGGAAUGAGGUGACAGGAUUGCAGAGGGUAAGAGCAAACCAACAGGCCAAAAAUGGAGGAGAGUCAGAGAGAAAUAAGGGUGGAAAUUUUCUGCCAUACUAUGUGGUAACUGAAUGACUGGGGCAAUUCUACAUGGAUUGGAACUAUGCCACACUCUGCAGGCCACUGUGUUCCCUGAAACCACCUGACCAAUUCCUUCACUGUGCUCUAGGCUAGGGAGACCUGAAAAUGCCUCUUCACAUGGCCAAAGCAGCACAGGUAAAACUACGGAGAGCCCAGAGGGCCA